AGCGAACGCUGGCGGCAGGCUUAACACAUGCAAGUCGAACGGGCAUCUUCGGAUGUCAGUGGCAGACGGGUGAGUAACACGUGGGAACGUACCCUUCGGUUCGGAAUAACUCAGGGAAACUUGAGCUAAUACCGGAUACGCCCUUUUGGGGAAAGGUUUACUGCCGAAGGAUCGGCCCGCGUCUGAUUAGCUUGUUGGUGGGGUAACGGCCUACCAAGGCGACGAUCAGUAGCUGGCCUGAGAGGAUGAUCAGCCACACUGGGACUGAGACACGGCCCAGACUCCUACGGGAGGCAGCAGUGGGGAAUAUUGGACAAUGGGCGCAAGCCUGAUCCAGCCAUGCCGCGUGAGUGAUGAAGGCCUUAGGGUUGUAAAGCUCUUUUGUCCGGGACGAUAAUGACGGUACCGGAAGAAUAAGCCCCGGCUAACUUCGUG
rnacentral:rRNA from 1 species